UCCCAGCCUUAAACGAUGCUCGCUAGGUGUCAGAUGCGGUGCGACCGCAUCUGGCGCCGCAGUGAAAACCUGAAGCGAGUCACCUGGGAAGUACGGUCGCAAGGCUGAAACUUAAAGGAAUUGGCGGGGGAGCACUACAACGGGUGGAGUCUGCGGUUCAAUUGGAUUCAACGCCGGAAAGCUUACCAGGCUCGACAGCACUAUGAAGGUCAGGCUAAAGACCUUACCGAAUUCGCUGAGAGGAGGUGCAUGGCCGUCGCCAGUGCGUGCCGUGAGGUGUCCUGUCAAUUCAGGCAACGGACGAGAUCCCUAUCCUCAGUUGCUAUCGGGCGCUUACGCGUGCCGAGCACUCUGAGGAGACUGCCGCCGAAA
rnacentral:rRNA from 1 species